CAGCAGCCGCGGUAAUACGUAGGGUGCGAGCGUUAAUCGGAAUUACUGGGCGUAAAGCGUGCGCAGGCGGUUCGUUAAGACAGAUGUGAAAUCCCCGGGCUUAACCUGGGAACUGCAUUUGUGACUGGCGAGCUAGAGUAUGGCAGAGUGGGGUAGAAUUCCACGUGUAGCAGUGAAAUGCGUAGAGAUGUGGAGGAAUACCGAUGGCGAAGGCAGCCCCCUGGGCCAAUACUGACGCUCAUGCACGAAAGCGUGGGGAGCAAACAGGAUUAGAUACCCCGGUAGUCCCUGUCUCUUAUAC
rnacentral:rRNA from 1 species